CGACAAAAGCAAAACUACAGUAAUGUAGUGACGCAAAGCUAUAGGGUCUUAAAAAGAUAGCCAGUUGCCAA
rnacentral:ncRNA from 1 species